rnacentral:rRNA from 1 species
UGGGGAAUUUUGGACAAUGGGCGCAAGCCUGAUCCAGCAAUGCCGCGUGCAGGAAGAAGGCCUUCGGGUUGUAAACUGCUUUUGUACGGAACGAAAAGGCUCUGGUUAAUACCUGGGGCAUAUGACGGUACCGUAAGAAUAAGCACCGGCUAACUACGUGCCAGCAGCCGCGGUAAUACGUAGGGUGCAAGCGUUAAUCGGAAUUACUGGGCGUAAAGCGUGCGCAGGCGGUUUUGUAAGACAGGCGUGAAAUCCCCGGGCUCAACCUGGGAAUUGCGCUUGUGACUGCAAGGCUGGAGUGCGGCAGAGGGGGAUGGAAUUCCGCGUGUAGCAGUGAAAUGCGUAGAUAUGCGGAGGAACACCGAUGGCGAAGGCAAUCCCCUGGGCCUGCACUGACGCUCAUGCACGAAAGCGUGGGGAGCAAACAGGAUUAGAUACCCAAGUAGUCCCUGAGCGGGCUGGCAAGGCGCAU